rnacentral:rRNA from 1 species
GACGAACGCUGGCGGCGUGCUUAACACAUGCAAGUCGAACGGAAAGGCCCUGCUGUUGUGGGGUGCUCGAGUGGCGAAAGGGUGAGUAACACGUGAGUAACCUGCCCUUGACUUUGGGAUAACUUCAGGAAACUGGGGCUAAUACCGGAUAGGAGCUCCUGCUGCAUGGUGGGGGUUGGAAAGUUUCGGCGGUUGGGGAUGGACUCGCGGCUUAUCAGCUUGUUGGUGGGGUAGUGGCUUACCAAGGCUUUGACGGGUAGCCGGCCUGAGAGGGUGACCGGCCACAUUGGGACUGAGAUACGGCCCAGACUCCUACGGGAGGCAGCAGUGGGGAAUAUUGCACAAUGGGCGGAAGCCUGAUGCAGCAACGCCGCGUGCGGGAUGACGGCCUUCGGGUUGUAAACCGCUUUCGCCUGUGACGAAGCGUGAGUGACGGUAAUGGGUAAAGAAGCACCGGCUAACAACGUG